AUGACCACGACCACGACCAAGACGAUGGGGAGGAGAGGAGGAGCUGCGGCCAUUGGAGCGGCGCUGCUGUUCUUGGCCGCCGCCUCCCUGGGGGUUCAUGCCAACACCGACUCAAACGAUGUGACAGCCCUCAAUGUCUUCUAUACAACAAUGAACCACCCACCCCAGCUGAAAAACUGGGUGUCACAAAAUGGAGAUCCCUGCGGGCAGUCGUGGCAGGGGAUCACUUGCUCGGGUUCCAGAGUGACAGCAAUAAACUUACCGGGCAUGAGUCUUAACGGGACUUUGGGAUACAAUAUGAACCUACUGACUGCACUAGUGCAGCUUGAUAUGAGCAAUAAUAAUCUUGGAGGCAGUGACAUUCCCUAUAAUCUUCCUCCAAAUCUCGAGAAAAUAAAUCUUGCUGGAAAUCACUUCACUGGAACCACACCAUACUCUAUUUCCCAAAUGGUCGCACUUAAGGAUUUAAAUCUUGCUCAUAACCAGCUCUCAACCAUCAGUGAUAUGUUUAACCAGCUCACCAACCUAACAACAAUGGAUAUCUCAUUCAACACAUUUUCUGGUAAUAUUCCACAAAGCUUCAACUCUAUAACAAGUUUGAAAACACUUUAUCUGCAGAACAACCAAUUCAGUGGUACGAUAGAUGUCCUUGCCAAUCUUCCUCUCGCUGACUUAAAUGUCGCGAACAACCAAUUCACCGGCUGGGUCCCUGAUAAGCUAAAGAAAAUAAGGAGUCUACAGACAACUGGAAACUCAUUUAGCAAUGGUCCCGCGCCACCACCCCCACCAGCUACAAAUCCAACGCCAACGCCAACGCCUCAACGUCCUGCUCUUCCAAGUAGUAAUGACAACAAUGGCCCAUCCGACAGUGGCAGCAAACACUCCAAACUACAAGGUGGUGCAAUAGCAGGAAUUGUUAUAUGUUUGCUGGUUCUUGGUGCAAUGUUUGCAUUCUUUGUGAUCAAGAGGAAAUCUUGGAAGUUGUCACGAGGACGAGACCCCGAACAGAAGGAACCUCUCAGUCCCAUUGCUUCAGGAUUUAAACAGAUGAAGUCCAUCAAGAUCAUCUCAACAACUGGCAAGGAUCAAUUUCACAAGACUGUUUCAAUGAGCUUAAAACCUCCGACAAAAAUUGACUUGCACAAGUCCUUCGAUGAAAAUGAUCUCACAACCAAGUCUGUUACAAGGAAGAUAAGUUUGUCUUCCAUCAAAAUACCUGCAUACACAGUUGCAGACCUACAGAUAGCAACAGGAAGCUUCAGUGCUGACCAUUUCAUCAGUGAGGGAUCAUUUGGACGUGUUUUCAGAGCACAAUUCAACGAUCAGAAGGUCCUGGCUGUAAAGAAAAUCAACUUUUCUUCAUUCCCAGGCUAUCCUUCUGAUUUGUUCAUUGAGUUGGUUGCAAAUAUUUCAAGGCUAAAUCAUCCAAACCUUGCUGAGUUAGUUGGCUACUGUUCAGAGCAUGGGCAGUGCUUGUUGGCAUAUGAAUUCUAUCAAAAUGGUUCUCUGUGUGACUUACUUAACCUGGUGGAUGAUCAAAGCAAACCGCUGUCCUGGAAUAGCCGUGUAAAGAUUGCUCUUGGAUCUGCAAGGGCAUUAGAAUACCUACAUGAAACAUGUUCGCCAUCUGUGAUCCACAAGAAUUUCAAGUCAUCAAACAUUUUACUGGAUAAUGAGCUGAACCCCCACCUUUCGGAUUCUGGUUAUGGAGAUCUUAUUCCUAACCAGGAAUUCCAGCAAUCAGAAGAAAACUCAGGAUAUAGGGCACCUGAGGUAGCCAUGUCUGGCCAAUACUCACUGAAGAGCGAUGUAUAUAGCUUCGGAGUAGUCAUGUUAGAGCUCCUCACUGGCCGCAAACCUUUCGACAGGUCCCGACCACGGUCCGAGCAGUCGCUGGUCCGAUGGGCCGCCCCGCAGCUGCACGACAUCGACGCGCUGGACCAGAUGGUCGAUCCGGCGCUCCAGGGGCUGUACCAUUCCAAGUCCCUGUCCCGCUUCGCCGACGCGAUAGCCCUUUGUGUGCAGGCCGAGCCAGAGUUCCGGCCGCCUAUGUCCGAGGUCGUCCAGUCGCUGGUCCGUCUCGUGCAGCGGGCGAACAUGACGAGGAUGUCCAGCAGCGAGAGCUACACCCGGCGCGACGGCGAAUCUGGCGACUACGCGGUAUAG
rnacentral:rRNA from 1 species